rnacentral:rRNA from 1 species
UACGGGGGGAGCAAGCGUUGUUCGGAUUUACUGGGCGUAAAGGGCGCGUAGGCGGUCAGCACAAGUCAGUUGUGAAAUCUCCGAGCUUAACUCGGAACGGCCAAGUGAAACUGUCAUGCUAGAGUGCAGAAGGGGCAAUCGGAAUUCUUGGUGUAGCGGUGAAAUGCGUAGAUAUCAAGAGGAACACCUGAGGUGAAGACGGGUUGCUGGGCUGACACUGACGCUGAGGCGCGAAAGCCAGGGGAGCAAACGGG